rnacentral:rRNA from 1 species
GACGAACGCUGGCGGCGUGCUUAACACAUGCAAGUCGAACGGAAAGGCCCUGCUUUUGUGGGGUGCUCGAGUGGCGAACGGGUGAGUAACACGUGAGUAACCUGCUCUUGACUUUGGGAUAACUUCAGGAAACUGGGGCUAAUACCGGAUAGGAGCUCCUGCUGCAUGGUGGGGGUUGGAAAGUUUCGGCGGUUGGGGAUGGACUCGCGGCUUAUCAGCUUGUUGGUGGGGUAGUGGCUUACCAAGGCUUUGACGGGUAGCCGGCCUGAGAGGGUGACCGGCCACAUUGGGACUGAGAGACGGCCCAGACUCCUACGGGAGGCAGCAGUGGGGAAUAUUGCACAAUGGGCGGAAGCCUGAUGCAGCAACGCCGCGUGCUGGAUGACGGCCUUCGGGUUGUAAGCCGCUUUCGCCUGUGACGAAGCGUGAGUGACGGUAAUGGGUAAAGAAGCACCGGCUAACUACGUG